rnacentral:ncRNA from 1 species
GGACUGGCAGAGGCCGACUGUCUAAAUAAAACAAAGCAUUGCGAUGGCCCUAAUACGUGUUGACACAAUGUGAUUUUUGCCCUGUGCUCCGAACGUCAAAGUGAAGAAAUCCAAGUAAGCACGAGCAAAUGCCGGGAGUAACUACGACUAUCUGCCAAAUCAUGCCAAAUGGAAGUAUUGUCAUAUUGUGUGCCUUUCAACUAACGAAUUCGUUCAUAAAAAUAAAAAGAAUAAGACUACAAAAACAAGACUUCG